rnacentral:rRNA from 1 species
GACGAACGCUGGCGGCGUGCUUAACACAUGCAAGUCGAACGGAAAGGCCCUGCUUUUGUGGGGUGCUCGAGUGGCGAACGGGUGAGUAACACGUGAGUAACCUGCCCUUGACUUUGGGAUAACUUCAGGAAACUGGGGCUAAUACCGGAUAUGAGCUCCUGCUGCAUGGUGGGGGUUGGAAAGUUUCGGCGGUUGGGGAUGGACUCGCGGCUUAUCAGCUUGUUGGUGGGGUAGUGGCUUACCAAGGCUUUGACGGGUAGCCGGCCUGAGAGGGUGACCGGCCACCAUGGGACUGAGAUACGGCCCAGACUCCUACGGGCGGCAGCAGUGGGGAAUAUUGCACAAUGGGCGGAAGCCUGAUGCAGCAACGCCGCGUGCGGGAUGACGGCCUUCGGGUUGUAAACCGCUUUCGCCUGUGACGAAGCGUGAGUGACGGUAAUGGGUAAAGAAGCACCGGCUAACUACGUG